UACAGAGGUCCCAAGCGUUGUUCGGAUUCAUUGGGCGUAAAGGGUGCGUAGGUGGCAUGGUAAGUCGGGUGUGAAAUCCCGGGGCUCAACCCCGGAACUGCACUCGAUACUGCCGUGCUGGAGUACUGGAGAGGAGACUGGAAUUUACGGUGUAGCAGUGAAAUGCGUAGAUAUCGUAAGGAAGACCGGUGGCGAAAGCUAGUCUCUGGACAGUCACUGACACUGAGGCACGAAGGCUAGGGGAGCAAACGGG
rnacentral:rRNA from 1 species